CAGGACGAACGCUGGCGGCGUGCUUAACACAUGCAAGUCGAGCGAUGAAGUUUCUUCGGAAAUGGAUUAGCGGCGAACGGGUGAGGAACACGUGAAGAAUCUGCCCUCCACUUUGGGAUAACACCGGGAAACCGGUGCUAAUACCGAAUAUUGAAACAUAAGUGGCAUCACUGAGUUUUUAAAGAAUUUCGGUGGAGGAUGACUUCGCGGCCUAUCAGCUAGUUGGUGAGGUAAUGGCUCACCAAGGCAACGACGGGUAGCCGGCCUGAGAGGGCGACCGGCCACACUGGGACUGAGACACGGCCCAGACUCCAACGGGAGGCAGCAGUGGGGAAUAUUGGGCAAUGGAGGAAACUCUGACCCAGCGACGCCGCGUGCGGGAUGAAGGCCUUCGGGUUGUAAACCGCUUUCAGUAGGGAAGAAGCGAAAGUGACGGUACCUACAAAAGAAGCACCGGCUAACUAUGUGCCAGCAGCCGCGGUAAUACAUAGGGUGCAAGCGUUGUCCGGAAUUAUUGGGCGUAAAGAGCUCGUAGGUCGUUUGCCACGUCGGAUGUGAAAACCUGAGGCUCAACCUCAGGCCUGCAUUCGAUACGAGCAAACUAGAGUUUGGUAGGGGAGACUGGAAUUCCUGGUGUAGCGGUGGAAUGCGCAGAUAUCAGGAGGAACACCAACGGCGAANGCAGGUCUCUGGGCCAAUACUGACACUGANGAGCGAAAGUCUGGGGAGCGAACAGGAUUAGAUACCCUGGUAGUCCAGACCGUAAACGGUGGGCACUAGUUGUGGGAACCUUCCACGGUUUCUGCGACGCAGCUAACGCAUUAAGUGCCCCGCCUGGGGAGUAC
rnacentral:rRNA from 1 species